GCUCUUGCGAUUGCUCUCACUGUCUCUUGGAGUGGUUUUUCUGAGUUGGGAGCUUGUGGCAGCGUGCUUGAUGUCUUGGCAGUUUUGUGUUGGCGGCUUGCUGGUGAGGUGACUGGGAGAAGCUCUUAGCAAGCUUGGAGUAUCUGUCAUCCCCUGGUGAUCGAUGUUGCAUGAGGUGGAAGGAUGGUGCUGGACGUCAUCCCCAAAGCUUUAUUAGCAUUCCAGUUAUCGUUCUGCAAUCAAUAAUGGAUGCCAACCAAAGUGGAGGGAGCAACAAUUACCCCUGACAGCUUCCCUUUCAUUUGAGUGUGGGAUGGAGCUGUAGAGAUUGGGAAGAGCACAAGAUCAUCAACAUGUCACUAAGCACAGCAUAUUUGCCCCUCCAGGUUCCCUCAUCCUCAAUGUGAGACUGUGGAGGGAACAUUAGAUUUGAAGUCGAGAGACCUAGGUUUGAAUUCUGCCUUAAUGGAAGUGUGGCACUGGGUGCAUCACUUCAUCUCUCUGUUCUUCUCCGUAAAGUUAGGACAGGUGAACCAGAUGAUCUCAAGAUGAGCUUUUAGCUCCAAAUCCUGGAUCUUGUUUGAAUGCUCCUCACUCUCACAGGGACCCCAAAGGCAUCUGAACAUGAGAUGCAGCUAGAUCAAGGGUCUCACCUUUCUCAUUCUUGUCAACAAUCAGAACUUCUCCAUAAAUCACCUCAUAAAGAUACUUAUCCAGACAUUCUUUUUUGGAGUUAUUUGUUUUUAUCAUACAGAUAACAAUAAACUAAUUUAUAUGA